rnacentral:snRNA from 1 species
AUGGAAAACAUGGCUUUGUGCAAUGUUCUUCUUGCUUGUCUCUGAUAUGUCCUCCAUAGGAGGUCUAUAUUGAGCAGAUUUUUUUGGGUAUUGGGUGGUGGAACCGGAGCGUGCUCCAUCCACUCCAUGCAUUGACCUGGUAUUGCAGUGCUUCCAGGACCGGUGCAAAAAAA